AUGACUCCUGCACGCACCACAGCUGUGCAGCACAGUGCAGAGAUGGCUCUCCUCCGUCCAAUGCUUGCCCAAAGUCAUGACAAUAAUUCUCCACUCUUUUUGUUCCUCCAACAAAAGAAAGCAGAAAGAACGUCGCAGAGGCUAUUUGAAGGAAGCCGGACAAUGGAAAAAAAGAAGUGUCCCUUGCCACCUUCUUGUGAUCAUCUAUCUUUUCAGAAUUCUAUAAGCAGGGUGCCACCAAAUGAUGAUUUUUUUGGCACAAAGUUUUGUCUGAAUGAUCUGAUCAUGACCACCAAAUCAUGCCAAUAG
rnacentral:rRNA from 1 species